rnacentral:rRNA from 1 species
CACUCCUACGGGAGGCAGCAGUGGGGAAUUUUGGACAAUGGGCGAAAGCCUGAUCCAGCCAUGCCGCGUGCAGGAUGAAGGCCUUCGGGUUGUAAACUGCUUUUGUACGGAACGAAACGGCCUUUUCUAAUAAAGAGGGCUAAUGACGGUACCGUAAGAAUAAGCACCGGCUAACUACGUGCCAGCAGCCGCGGUAAUACGUAGGGUGCAAGCGUUAAUCGGGAUUACUGGGCGUAAAGCGUGCGCAGGCGGUUAUGUAAGACAGUUGUGAAAUCCCCGGGCUCAACCUGGGAACUGCAUCUGUGACUGCAUAGCUAGAGUACGGUAGAGGGGGAUGGAAUUCCGCGUGUAGCAGUGAAAUGCGUAGAUAUGCGGAGGAACACCGAUGGCGAAGGCAAUCCCCUGGACCUGUACUGACGCUCAUGCACGAAAGCGUGGGGAGCAAACAGGAUUAGAUACCCUUGUAGUCCCAUGA